UAGGUUGUAGUUUAGUUAGAAUGUGGGCUUUGGGUGUCUAUGGUGCCCUGUGUGGGUCGACCUAA
rnacentral:tRNA from 1 species